CGUAACAAGGUCUCUGUAGGUGAACCUGCGGAGGGAUCAUUACACAAAUAUGAAGGCGGGCUGGAACCUCUCGGGGUUACAGCCUUGCUGAAUUAUUCACCCUUGUCUUUUGCGUACUUCUUGUUUCCUUGGUGGGUUCGCCCACCACUAGGACAAACAUAAACCUUUUGUAAUUGCAAUCAGCGUCAGUAACAAAUUAAUAAUUACAACUUUCAACAACGGAUCUCUUGGUUCUGGCAUCGAUGAAGAACGCAGCGAAAUGCGAUAAGUAGUGUGAAUUGCAGAAUUCAGUGAAUCAUCGAAUCCUUGAACGCACAUUGCGCCCUUUGGUAUUCCAAAGGGUAUGCCUGUUCGAGCGUCAUUUGUACCCUCAAGCUUUGCUUGGUGUUGGGCGUCUUGUCUCUAGCUUUGCUGGAGACUCGCCUUAAAGUAAUUGGCAGCCGGCCUACUGGUUUCGGAGCGCAGCACAAGUCGCACUCUCUAUCAGCAAAGGUCUAGCAUCCAUUAAGCCUUUUUUUCAACUUUUGACCUCGGAUCAGGUAGGGAUACCCGCUGAACUUAAGCAUAUCA
rnacentral:rRNA from 1 species